rnacentral:rRNA from 1 species
UACGUAGGGUGCAAGCGUUGUCCGGAAUUAUUGGGCGUAAAGAGCUCGUAGGCGGUCUGUCACGUCGGCUGUGAAAACCCGAGGCUCAACCUCGGGCCUGCAGUCGAUACGGGCAAACUAGAGUACUGCAGGGGGAGACUGGAAUUCCUGGUGUAGCGGUGGAAUGCGCAGAUAUCAGGAGGAACACCGAUGGCGAAGGCAGAUCUCUGGGCCGUAACUGACGCUGAGGAGCGAAAGCAUGGGGAGCGAACAGG